CCUACGGGGGGCAGCAGUGAGGAAUAUUGGUCAAUGGGCGCGAGCCUGAACCAGCCAAGUCGCGUGAGGGAGGACGGCCCUACGGGUUGUAAACCUCUUUUGCCGGGGAGCAACGGGCGCCACGUGUGGCGCCACGGAGGGUACCCGGAGAAAAAGCCUCGGCUAACGCCGUGCCAGCAGCCGCGGUAAUACGGAGGAUGCGAGCGUUAUCCGGAUUUAUUGGGUUUAACGGGUGCGUAGGCGGAUCGGUAAGUCAGUGGUCAAGUGGAGGGGCUCAACCCCUUCCCGCCAUUGAAACUGGCGGUCUUGCGUGGAAGAGCAGUCUGCGGAAUGCGUGGUGUAGCGGUGAAAUGCAUAGAUAUCACGCAGAACCCCGAUUGCGAAGGCAGCAUGCCGGCUUCCGACUGACGCUGACGCACGAACGCGUGGGGAUCGAACAGGAUUAGAUACCCUGGUAGUC
rnacentral:rRNA from 1 species